AGCUCGGGAAUGCGCCCCUGCAGCCCGGACCCGGUACUGCAUCCGCGUCAUCGAAAAUUUGCAUAUUUUACACUUGUGUAAGUUUUGAGGCCGCUGAUUGGCUAGAUCGGCAUCGAAAUCGCGAAAACAAAAUGGCGGCGGUGGGCGGGGCUACAUUCUGCCGCUAAUAGCUCCGUACAACGAGGCAAGUGUGAUGGUUUGUAACUUCCUGUUUGGAACGGACGCAAUCUGUGCACCUGAAGCGAAGACAUUUGUGGUGUGAAGCUAUUGGAGACAACUAUUAUAUUAAAGACACAUGAGAGGAUGGCUGAAGGUGCGAGGCGAAGGAGAAAG